rnacentral:tRNA from 1 species
GGAGGGCUGGCCGAGCGGUCGAAGGCGGCUGACUUGAAAUCAGUUAGGCGGCGACGCCUCGGGGGUUCGAAUCCCUCGCCCUCCG